rnacentral:tRNA from 1 species
UGGAAGGGUAGCGAAGAGGCUAAACGCGGCGGACUGUAAAUCCGCUCCUUCGGGUUCGGGGGUUCGAAUCCCUCUCCUUCCAU